CCCUCGCCCAAAAGAUCGCUAUUCGAAGCUGAAAACACGGAGAAGGUGUUCGCACCGUCUCAACCACCUCUCUGCUUUGGGGAAAGUCCCCGGACACUUCUUGCGGAAACGCGCCGCCAUAGAAGCACUGCGGCUUAUCCCUGCUGGCUGUCCCUCGUGCCGGCCUCGAUCAUCCCUCCGCCCCUCGGGUGGCCAUCCUGCUUCGAGACGGUUUCUGUACCGGUACCGCCGCCCUCUCGCCGCCGUUCCCCGUCGCCCCCAAUGGACGAAGAUAUGAGUCCGCGCUUCGGGACGGCGGUCGGGCAAUCUGGUCCGGUCUGAUCUCGGCUCAUACGGCGUGGAAUUUUUUUGGGGAUGUUUGGGGUGGCCUACGGGACGCUCAAGCCUUGCAUGGGAGCAUUUCGUCAGUUCAUUCCACCACAGUUAUGCGAUUGAGCCACGCCUGGCCUGUCGGUACUCCCUCGGGAGGAAAGCGGCCAGUGUGGUUUUACACGAUGGGGCUUACUCUUGGUGCGAGG
rnacentral:RNase_MRP_RNA from 2 species